GACGAACGCUGGCGGCGUGCUUAACACAUGCAAGUCGAACGGAAAGGCCCCGCUUUUGUUGGUUGCUCGAGUGGCGAACGGGUGAGUAACACGUGAGUAACCCGUCCCUGACUUAGGGCUAACGUCAGGAAACUGGGGAUACUACCGGAUAGGAUCUCCUGCUGCAUGGGGGUGGAUGGUAAGUGUCGGCGGUGUGGGAUGGACUCGCGGCUUAUCAGCUUGUUGGGGGGGUAGUGGCUUACCAAGGCUUUGACGGUUAGCCGGCCUGGGCGAGGGACCGGCCACAUUGGGCCUAGGUUACGCCCCAGACUCCAACGGUAGGCAGCAGUGGGAAUUAUUGCACAAUGGGCGGAAGCCUGAUGCAGCAGCGCCGCGUGCGGGAUGCCGGCCUUCGGGUUGUAAACCUCUUUCGCCUGUGACGAGGCGUGCGUGACGGUAAUGGGUAAAGAAGCACCGGCUAACUACGUG
rnacentral:rRNA from 1 species